AAGAAGAAGAAGGAAGGAGGAAGUAAACAACACAGGCACCAUUAGCGUUAGCUCUAUGGCUGUAUUCUCGAAGACGAUAUUGUACUUGUAGCGGAUAAAUAUUUCAUUUGCAAUUAAGCAAUAAUGUCUUCAGUUGAGUGUUUGAGAGAGUUUGUCAACGAGCGACUAAUUGCUGCUGCUGAAGAAAUAUUCGGAGUUUUUAAAAAAACUAUCGUCGAGUACGAGGAAGAGAUCGAUCGUCAGCGCAGACUGCUGGAUAUCUUUUGGAAACCUGAAAUAAAGUUACACAGGAUAGAGCUCCCACAGCAACAUGUCUGUACGGAGGAGGAGGUUCUGGCUGACCAGCAGCUCUGUAUUCAGGAGAGGAACUCCAGUCUGGACCAAGAGGACCCAGAGCCUCCACAGAUUAAAGAGGAACAGGAGGAACUCUGCACCAGUCAGGAGGGAGAGCAGCUUCUACUGAAGCAGGAGACUGAUGCCUUUAUGUUGACUCCUACUGAUGAGGAAAGUGACCACAGUGAACCAGAACCAAACAGGGACCAGCAGCUCCUCUCUCACAACUCUCAUGUAGCUGAGAGCCAAGAUCAGAAAGGAGGCAAGCAUGGAGACAGUAACAAUGUAUACAACUCUACCAUGUCAGAGAUUCACUGUAAUACUCACACGGGUAAAAAGUCUUUCAAAUGUGACACAUGUGGAAAAGAUUUUAAGAAUAAGUCCCACCUUUAUACACACCUGAGAGUCCACACAGGGGAGAAGCCAUAUUCUUGCACGACCUGCGGGAAAAGAUACUUUGACAUGUCCACAUUGAAAAGGCAUAUGAGAAUACACACAGGAGAGAAGCCAUAUUGUUGCAAAACAUGUGGGAGAGCUUUCACACAGAGUGGUCACUUGACAGUCCAUAUGAGAAGAGUCCACACUGGUGAGAAGCCGCAUACAGAGCUCGUAAAGCAACAUGGCUGUACGGAGGAGGAGGUUCUCACUGACCAGCAGCUCUGUAUUCAGGAGAGGAACUCCAGUCUGGACCAAGACGACCCAGAGCCUCCACAGAUUAAAGAGGAACAGGAGGAACUCUGCACCAGUCAGGAGGGAGAGCAGCUUCUACUGAAGCAGGAGACUGAUGCCUUUAUGUUGACUCCUACUUAUGAGGAAAGUGACCACAGUGAACCAGAACCAAACAGGGACCAGCAGCUCCUCUCUCACAACACACAUGUAGCUGAGAGCCAAGAUCAGAAAGGAGGCAAGCAUGAAGACAGUGACAAUAUAUACAACUCUACCAUGUCAGAGAUUCACCGUAAUACUCACACAGAGCUCCCACAGCAACAUGUCUGUACGGAGGAGGAGAUUCUGGCUGACCAGCAGCUCUGUAUUCAGGAGAGGAACUCCAGUCUGGACCAAGAGGACCCAGAGCCUCCACAGAUUAAAGAGGAACAGGAGGAACUCUGCACCAGUCAGGAGGGAGAGCAGCUUGUACUGAAGCAGGAGGCUGAUGCCUUUAUGUUGACUCCUACUGAUGAGGAAAGUGACCACAGUGAACCAGAACCAAACAGGGACCAGCAGCUCCUCUCUCACAACUCUCAUGCAGCUGAGAGCCAAGAUCAGAAAGGAGGCAAGCAUGGAGACAGUAACAAUGUAUACAACUCUACCAUGUCAAAGAUUCACCAUAUUACUCACACGGGUAAAAAGUCUUUCAAAUGUGACACAUAUGGAAAAGCUACUAAGCAUAAGUCCCACUUUUAUACACACCUGAGAGUCCACACAGGGGAGAAGCCAUAUUCUUGCACGACCUGCGCGAAAAGAUUCUUUGACAUGUCCACAUUGAAACGGCAUUUGAGAAUACACACAGGAGAGAAGCCAUAUUGUUGCAAAACAUGUGGGAGGGCUUUCACACAGAGUGGUCACUUGACAAUCCACAUGAGAAGAGCCCACACUGGUGAGAAGCCGUACCUUUGCAAGACCUGUGGGAACAGAUUCUGUGUCAUUUCAUCAUUGAAUAGGCAUAUGAAAACCCACACAGGUGAGAAGCCGUACCCUUGCAAGAGCUGCGGGAAACGAUUCUUUGACAAGUCCACAUUGAAUAGGCAUAUGAAAACCCACACAGGUGACAAGCCCUAUCACUGCCAAGAUAUUUUGAUGUGUCUCAACUGACGAGGCAUAUAAGAUCGAAUACCGGAAAGUAACCUUGUAUAUACAAAAUGUGUGGUUAGACGAUUCAGUUCUACUGGUUUGUGGUAACACACAAGAACUCAGCAGGAGUGAGGAGCCACAUAAUUGCAGCACUUAUGGGAAAAGAUUUACUCAAAUACCUGAAAAAUACACCUGAGGGUCAAUAUACACAGCCAACCAUCGAGCUGAAACUCCCGUGGAGAAGAGGUUUCAAUAUCUUAAGUGUAAUGAAGUGGUACAUUUUCAACAAUGACAUCAAGGUUUGUUAAACUAACUUUGUUUUUAUUUUCCUUCAUAUGACUGUAUUACUUAUAUUUCUGUCAGCAACAGUAUUUCUUUGAAACAGUCAUAAUCUCCCAAAUCUUUGAAAAAGCAUUGUUGAACAGUGAGUUCAUAGUUGACAAAUGUUUGACCUGUAAAGUUAAUAUUAUUUUUUGCUCUUUGUGUACAAUACCUCAGUUAUAUGAGUGGAUUGUGAACUCUGUAUGUUGAAGCAGAGAAGCCCUCUCUCUAAUGGUGUUGGGUCACUUAUGUUGUCAUCCUGCCAGUCUUUUUUUUUUUUUGUCUGCAACAUAUCAUUUAAUUUUAGCUGUGUACUACAUGGUGUUCUCAAAGAAUUUUGUGAACAUAAAAAAUCUAUUUUUUAAAAUGCCAGUUAUUCAGACUGAUGUUCUAAAAUCGAUGGAUUGGAGGAUUAAGUUAACUAAAAGCAAUAACAACCCAAGUGCUAGUAGUGCAAACCAAGAUUAGUGCCUAAAGGAACGUCGGCAAUGAAAUGCUGUUUUUUGAUCUCUCAAGGGAUGAUGUAAGAAUACCAGAUUCACACUGACCUCGAAAGCUAUAAGCAAAUUCUGUUCCUCAAGGCUGCUGAUGGGUGUGACUGACAUCAAAAGUAAAAGUAGUCAUAGGGAAGAAUAGCUCUUUUCAGAGUGUUAAAUUAUAGCAUGCAUGGGGUGUGUUAAUGUUGCAGCUCAUCUGCUGGAGGUUAAGUUAAAGUGUGAUUUGAUACCGUUUGGUAGUUUGAUCAGUGGAAGUGCCUCAUAUUAAACAAGCAUGUAUUCAGUGGUGCAAGUACUGUACUUAAGUACAACAUUGAUUGUCCUCAAAUGGCCAAGACUGCAUGUAAAUUCCACACAGAUAGUGAAAUCUUGAACACUUCAAUUUAAAAAUAUCAAUUUUGAAGUAUUUGUUCUUUGAUUUGGUGGACAAUGUAGGAGUUAACUAUCACCAGAAGAUGGCAGUAAUGCAACACUAAGGAUGUAAGCUGCCGUUAAACCUCAAAGAAGAAGAUUGAAGGAGGAAGUAAACAACACAAGCACCAUUAGCGUUAGCUCUGGCUGUAUGCUGGAAGACGAUAUUGUAGUUGAAGAAGAAGACGGAAGUAGACAAUACUGGCGCUAUUAGCGUUCGGCUCUAUGGCUGUAUGGAAUCAGCUUGAAGAAGUCAAGUGCAGAUAAAUAUUUAUUUUUUCAUUAAGCAACAAUGUCUUCAGUUGGGUGUUUGAGAGAGUUUAUCAACGAGCGACUAACUGCUGCUGCUGAAGAAAUAUUCAGAGUUUUUGAAAAAACUAUCGUCGAGUACGAGGAAGAGAUCGAGCGUCAGCGCAGACUGCUGGAUAUCUUUUGGAAACCCGAAAUAAAGUUACACAGGAUAGAGCUCCCACAGCAACAUGUCUGUACGGAGGAGGAGGUUCUGGCUGACCAGCAGCUCUGUAUUCAGGAGAGGAACUCCAGUCUGACCAAGAGGACCCAGAGCCUCCACAGAUUAAAGAGGAACAGGAGGAACUCUGCACCAGUCAGGAGGGAGAGCAGCUUGUACUGAAGCAGGAGACUGAUGCCUUUAUGUUGACUCCUACUGAUGAGGAAAGUGACCACAACGAAGAUCAGACUCUGUAUUUUAAUCCUGAUGAAAGUCAAAGUGCAGCAGAGACAGAGCUUCCAGCUAGCCUGUGUUUCACUUGGCUAAAAAAUGAAUCUGAUCGUGAAAAUUGUGAAGUAUCAGAACCAAACAGGGACCAGCAGCUCGUCUCUCACAACUCUCAUGUAGCUGAGAGCCAAGAUCAGAAAGGAGGCAAGCAUGGAGACUCAGGAUCAACUAGAGAUGCAGAACCAGAACCAGAGAAUCAACAUCACAAAAGUGAAAGUCACAGUAACAAUGUAUACAGCUCUACCAUGUUAAAUAUUCUUUGUAACACUCACACAGUUAAAAAGUCUUUAAAAUGUGACACAUGUGGGAAAGCUUUCAAGUAUAAGUCAAAAUUGCAGAGACACCUGAGCAUCCAUACAGGUGAGAAGCCAUAUUCUUGCAACACCUGUGGAAAAAGAUUCAGUGAGACAUCAGUACUGAACGCUCAUAUAAGAAUUCAUACAGGUGAGAAGCCAUAUUCUUGCAAAACAUGUGGAAAAGGUUUCAGAUGUAGUAGUGGCUUGUUGGUCCACAUGAGAACCCACACAGGUGAGAUGCCGUAUUCUUGCAACACAUGUGGGAAAGGUUUCAAAUGGAGUAGUUGCGUGACACUCCACAUGAGAACUCACUCAGGUGAGAGACCAUAUUCUUGCCAAACUUGUGGGAGAGAUUUCAGAUCUAGCAGUAACUUGAAAGGGCACAUGAGAACGCACACAGGGGAAAAGCUGUAUCACUGCAGCACAGUGGUUUCAGGUGUAGUCGGACCCACACAGGCGAGAAGCCAUAUACUUGAAAAACAUGGGGAAGAGGUUUCAGUUCAGUAAAAAGAUUUAUAACCUCACAGUAUUGCAAUAGGUACAUCUUUGUAUUUACACACAUUACAGUAUGUUUGACCAACAGCAUUUCUCAGAACAAUCAGUCUUCUACAUCUUGGGAAUUGUUGUAUCACAGUGAGUCAAAAGUAGUAGCUGUUAAACUAAUGGUGUGAUGUGUAUGACCGAUUGUCAUGUGGAUAAGAGCAUUUGCAAAAAAUUUCAUAAACGUGAUUUUUCAAAAGA